AUCUCUUCAGAUACCUUUUGAAGUUGGACCAAUGCAGAGGAGAUUAACAUGGCCCCUGCACAAGGAUGUCAGGUUUAAUUGAGAAAAGGUCCAUUUUUUG